UCAUUUCCUUUAAUGCCAACAUGAGCUCC
rnacentral:sRNA from 1 species